CUUGCUUCUCUUGAGAGCGGCGGACGGGUGAGUAAUGCCUAGGAAUCUGCCUGGUAGUGGGGGAUAACGUCCGGAAACGGACGCUAAUACCGCAUACGUCCUACGGGAGAAAGCAGGGGACCUUCGGGCCUUGCGCUAUCAGAUGAGCCUAGGUCGGAUUAGCUAGUUGGUGGGGUAACGGCUCACCAAGGCGACGAUCCGUAACUGGUCUGAGAGGAUGAUCAGUCACACUGGAACUGAGACACGGUCCAGACUCCUACGGGAGGCAGCAGUGGGGAAUAUUGGACAAUGGGCGAAAGCCUGAUCCAGCCAUGCCGCGUGUGUGAAGAAGGUCUUCGGAUUGUAAAGCACUUUAAGUUGGGAGGAAGGGCAGUAAAUUAAUACUUUGCUGUUUUGACGUUACCGACAGAAUAAGCACCGGCUAACUCUGUGCCAGCAGCCGCGGUAAUACAGAGGGUGCAAGCGUUAAUCGGAAUUACUGGGCGUAAAGCGCGCGUAGGUGGUUCGUUAAGUUGGAUGUGAAAUCCCCGGGCUCAACCUGGGAACUGCAUUCAAAACUGACGAGCUAGAGUAUGGUAGAGGGUGGUGGAAUUUCCUGUGUAGCGGUGAAAUGCGUAGAUAUAGGAAGGAACACCAGUGGCGAAAGCGACCACCUGGACUGAUACUGACACUG
rnacentral:rRNA from 1 species